rnacentral:rRNA from 1 species
AAGGUCCGUGUUCGAAAGGGAAACAGCCCAGACCACCAGCUAAGGUCCCAAAAUAUAUGUUAAGUGGAAAAGGAUGUGGCGUUGCCCAGACAACUAGGAUGUUGGCUUAGAAGCAGCCAUCAUUUAAAGAGUGCGUAAUAGCUCACUAGUCGAGUGACACUGCGCCGAAAAUGUACCGGGGCUAAACAUAUUACCGAAGCUGUGGAUUGUCCUUUGGACAAUGGUAGGAGAGCGUUCUAAGGGCGUUGAAGCAUGAUCGUAAGGACAUGUGGAGCGCUUAGAAGUGAGAAUGCCGGUGUGAGUAGCGAAAGACGGGUGAGAAUCCCGUCCACCGAUUGACUAAGGUUUCCAGAGGAAGGCUCGUCCGCUCUGGGUUAGUCGGGUCCUAAGCUGAGGCCGACAGGCGUAGGCGAUGGAUAACAGGUUGAUAUUCCUGUACCACCUAUAAUCGUUUUAAUCGAUG